rnacentral:lncRNA from 1 species
UAUGGACUUCCACUAUGUUGUUGAUUAUUUUUAUAGGUGUAUGUAUGAUUACAAAGAUUCCUAAUCUUCUAUGCUAAGCAAUCACACAAAGAAUCCAAUCUUCAAGCUCUCUUAAAAUCGAAAAAUCCACAAGGUCUCCGAACCUCAAGCUUGCAUCCAGUCCUUCAAAUUUCUACUCCAAGAAAUCUUCUUUGUUAUGCCUCCGCUUCGAUCCCCUUGAACCUUGAAUGUUUGAGAAACAACCCCCACAAUUACCUUUGGAGGUGAAAAGUACUUCCUUUUCCUUUAAAUCCUUGAUGCUCCAUCAAUUACACUAACAAUCCAGAUCUCAAAUCCUUCAAAAGUUCUUAGAAAAAGUGUUUAAUCUGAAGAAGUUUAUAGAAAGUGAGAGGUUGGAUACUUUAGAGUGUUUUUGUAAAUUGAUUAUAUGAAGUGCGGGAAUGAAAGGAUAUAAUUCUAUAUAGUCAAGUGAGAUAGAUGGGAGUUUGCCUAAAUAUAUAACAUAAAAUUGAUGUGUGAAUCGAGUUAGACUUAGUGUGAAUCGAUUCAAUAGUGUAAAAUGAGGUGGCUGGGCUGACAUGAAGAUUGACAUGAUAUUCAUGAACAAUGAAUCAAUUCAAGACAAUUUUUUAUGAAGAAUGAAUCGAUUCAUAGAACUUUUGAAUCGAAGUAGUGUUUCCAAAAGCAAUUCGAUACUAAUCAAAACCAUUUGAUACGAUUCAAACAACAAAAGAUAGACACCAUAAUGGUAGAUUGAAUCGAUUUAAUUUCUUCAAAGUAGAGAUUUGAAUGAAAUCAAGACAUAAUAUUUGAACGCCCAAACCAUUAUCUUACUUGAUUCAAAAAUUGCAAAGCAUUACUUUGAAUCAAAUCGAAGCCUUAGGAAAUGAAAUUUUUGAGAAAACUGGAAUAACAAGGUACACAUAGAAUGAUAUUAACGUUGAAGUUCAUAAAACAUCAUCAUAGAUGACAAUAACACAAAGACUAAUUAGGGUGCUUCACAAAAGAUUGUAGCAUCGAAAAAAUUCCUUCUAAGAAGCUCUGAGGGGCAAAAGCACCAUUUCAUAUGUCCAACUUCCCACAUCAAUUAUCAACGGGGAUGCCCUUUGUAUCAAGAUAACGCAAGCAAUGUAAGAAAACAGAAUUGUGGUUACAUGAACACCUUCAUUGUGUGAUUUACAAGUCGACUAUGCAAAGCCUCAUUUCCUCUAUACCAUGCUCUUGAAGCUCUCAAAUUCGUGAUGUGUUUGUGGCGGCAGUGAUUCAUAUUGCACAUACAAUUUGGUUAAUUCUUAACAUCUUGCGCUUUAGUUUUGAUAAAACGUCGAUUAAAAAGGCAAAGAUAAUUACUUAUGUCGCAUUGUCAGACAAUAAUUCUUCAGGUAAAUGUUUGCCCAAUUCGUCGGAUAACUGUCUUUUGAAUGUUUUCUUGGUCUCUCUUAACCAUCGAUAAAUGUGUUGUCAUCUCUGUUGUUUAGAAGAUGCUUUCUUUUCCUUAUAUUAAGUUGAAUACAGAUGACUCUUUGGUUGAUAAUAUGGGGGCUUGUGGCGGGAUUUUUUGAGAUUAUAGAGGUUCUUUUUUAGGCUGUUUUGCUGCUAAUUUGGGGUCGAGUUCGGUAAUUGAGGCAGAACUGCACAACUUUAUCUUGGGAUUAAAAUAUGCAUUUCAGCACGGCUGGUAUCAUGUUUGGGUGGAAGGCGAAUCCACUUCUUCUCUAUUGACCUUCAUGAAUCAUAUUCUUGUUCCUUUAAGGCUUCGGAACCGGUGGCACAAUUGAUUACAUGUUGGAAUUCACAUUUUACCGUCACAUAUUUAUCAGGAAGGAAAUGCAUGUGCUGAUAAUCUGGCUGAUCAUG